UACAGAGGGUGCGAGCGUUGUCCGGAAUCACUGGGCGUAAAGGGCGCGUAGGUGGCGACCCAAGUCGAUGGUGAAAGCUCGCCGCUCAACGGCGAGUCGGCCACCGAUACUGGGUUGCUGGAGCACUGUAGAGGCAGAUGGAAUUCCGGGUGUAGCGGUGGAAUGCGUAGAGAUCCGGAGGAACACCGAUGGCGAAGGCAGCCCCCUGG
rnacentral:rRNA from 1 species